GGAGGCGCCCUAGCCUGCCCGCAGGCCACAGCGCUUGGAAUCCUGCCUUCCCUGCUAUCUCCCUGAGGCAAGGGGUGUGUGGGAAUGUCUCUUUACUGUUUGGAGGCUCAAGCCUUUCUUGCUUAAGGGUGGGGCCACACAGGCUUUUGAGAUUUUUUUCCCCUUGUAGUGUUUGGCUGAAAUGGAGCAGUUAUUGUGCAGAUGUUUUCUGUCUAGAUAGAAAAAGCAGAUUUUUCUUGCAGGGUGGUUUUUUGUUUGUUUAUUUCGUUUUUCGUUUUUCUGUCUGUGCCUGCUCUUUCUUGGGUGCUGGCUUCUCCAAAACCAGUCUGGAAGGUUGGAGGAGUGUUUCUCAAUGAGUCUCCACCUUACUUAUUGAGACACAGUGUGUCACUGAACCUGGAGCUCACUGACUCAACUUGACUGGGUAGCCAACAAACCCUAGGGACCCUGCUAUCCCUCAGCUUCUCCAGGAUUGUGAUUCCAUGCAUGUAUCACCGUGCCCAGGUUUGUUAUUUUGCUUUUUUUGAUGAGGUCUCACUCUGUAGCCCUGGAUGCCCUAGUACUCAAUAAGCAGACCAGGCCUCUGUCUCCAUGGAGUACCAUGAUUCAAAACAUGUACCACUCAUGUCUAGGUUUUUUACUUGGGUUCUGGGGACAAACUUGGGUCCUCAUGCUUACAUAGAAACUGCUAACUAUUUUGCCAUGUGAGAUUAUUUCAUUUGACACUUCUCCCAACGAUGUAUGAAAGGUCCCAUUUUUCUGUAUCCUUGCCUCUCCCUGUAUGUUUCUUUGCAGUUUUGCCAUUCUAAUAAGGUAGAGUGCUAUCUUGUGCCUUUUACAUUUCCCUAAUAAUUGUAAUGGUAUCAAGCAUCCUUCCAAGUGCUUUUUGGCAACUUAGGUACCUUCUUCAGCAAAGUAUCUGUGUUUGUUCCUUAUUAGUGUCUCAGCAUUCUUUAUAUAUUUUAGACAUAAAUCCCAUACUAAAGGCAUGUCUGAUCACUUAAAAUUACUAUACAAUACAGCAGUUCUACUUUCAGAUAUAGAUACAAAAGAACUGAAAAUGAAGACUCAGAGCAAUGUUUUAUAGCAUCAUUACUUACAGCAAUCUAAGUGUUUAUAAAUUGAUAAAUAUCUACAGAAAGUGUGCUGUGACCAUACAAUGGAAUACUGUUUCUGUGUUUUUGUUUUUGUUUUUUCUUUUUUAAAGGACGUUCUGACAAAUGCUCUAACAUUAAGCCAAGUGAAAUCAGCCAGUGACAAAAAUACAAAUGUUCUGAUCACACUUAACUAAGGGCUCGGGUGUGGCGCAGUUGUAGAACACUUGACUCCAUAAAGCCAUGGAUUCCAUUGUCAGCAGUGCAAAAAGAAAUAAAUGAACUUAUAUUUAUC
rnacentral:lncRNA from 1 species